UUAGCGUCACCUGGGAGGUCUGUAAAAACACAGAUUGCUGCCUGGAUCCCCACGUUUCUGACGUAGUUUGUCUGCUACGGAGCCCAGAAGCUGACCUUCCUGACAACUCCCCCAAAAGGGGCUGUUGCUGCUGGUCUGGCCACCACCCUUGAAGAGUCGCUGCUUUAAUAUGCAUACCAGAGAUACAGCACUUGAAGAAUGAUUGCUCGAGAGAGAUGGGAAAAGACCAGAGGGUGUGUUUGAUCCAGAGAAAGAGAAUGGGCAAAUUUGAGAGGAGCUUAUCUGCACUGGAGAUGACAGGAAAACAGCUUUAUAAACCAUUGUUAUAUGCUGGUAAGGAGGAUGCGCGAUUUAUACUUCAAAAGGAGGCUCCUGGAAGAACAGCCCCAAGACUGUCUCAGGAGAGGGUGGCCCUGACUGGAGGACAACAUCUCCCACGGGGCAGGAGGAGAGAAGGUACUUAUCAUCUCUUAAGUGGAUUUUUGCAAGAGCCUAUACACUGAUAUGGAGAAGGCAAUGGCACCCCACUCCAGUUCUCUUGCCUGGAAAAUCCCAUGGAUGGCGGAGCCUGGUGGGCUGUAGUCCGUGGGGUUGCGAAGUCGGACAUGACUGAGCGAGUUCACUUUCACUUUCCACUUUCAUGCAUUGGAGAAGGAAAUGGCAACCUGCUCCAGUGUUCUUGCCUGGAGAAUCCCAGGGACGGGGGAGCCUGGUGGGCUGCCGUCUAUGGGGUUGCACAGAGUCGGACACGACUGAAGUGACUUAGCAGCAGCAGCAGCAUACACUGAAAUAUCUGAGUCUGGU
rnacentral:lncRNA from 1 species